rnacentral:rRNA from 1 species
ACCUACGGGGCGCAGCAGUAGCGAAUCUUCCACAAUGGGCGAAAGCCUGAUGGAGCAACGCCGCGUGGGUGAAGAAGGUCUUCGGAUCGUAAAACCCUGUUGUUAGAGAAGAAAGUGCGUGAGAGUAACUGUUCACGUUUCGACGGUAUCUAACCAGAAAGCCACGGCUAACUACGUGCCAGCAGCCGCGGUAAUACGUAGGUGGCAAGCGUUAUCCGGAUUUAUUGGGCGUAAGGGAACGCAGGCGGUCUUUUAAGUCUGAUGUGAAAGCCUUCGGCUUAACCGGAGUAGUGCAUUGGAAACUG